rnacentral:rRNA from 1 species
UACCCGCUGAAUUUAAGCAUAUCAAUAAGCGGAGGAAAAGAAACCAACAGGGAUUGCCCCAGUAACGGCGAGUGAAGCGGCAAGAGCUCAAAUUUGAAAGCUGGCUCCUUCGGGGUCCGCAUUGUAAUUUGCAGAGGAUGCUUCGGGAGCGGUCCCCAUCUAAGUGCCCUGGAACGGGACGUCAUAGAGGGUGAGAAUCCCGUAUGGGAUGGGGUGUCCGCGCCCGUGUGAAGCUCCUUCGACGAGUCGAGUUGUUUGGGAAUGCAGCUCUAAAUGGGUGGUAAAUUUCAUCUAAAGCUAAAUAUUGGCCGGAGACCGAUAGCGCACAAGUAGAGUGAUCGAAAGAUGAAAAGCACUUUGAAAAGAGAGUUAAAAAGCACGUGAAAUUGUUGAAAGGGAAGCGCUUGCGACCAGACUCGCUCGCGGGGUUCAGCCGGCAUUCGUGCCGGUGUAUUUCCCCGCGGGCGGGCCAGCGUCGGUUUGGGCGGUCGGUCAAAGGCCCUCGGAAGGUAACGCCCCUAGGGGCGUCUUAUAGCCGAGGGUGCAAUGCGACCUGCCUAGACCGAGGAACGCGCUUCGGCUCGGACGCUGGCAUAAUGGUCGUAAGCGACCCGUCUUGAAACACGGACCAAGGA